rnacentral:rRNA from 1 species
UACAGGGGGGGGCAAGCGUUGUUCGGAAUUACUGGGCGUAAAGGGCUCGUAGGUGGCCAACUAAGUCAGACGUGAAAUCCCUCAGCUUAACUGGGGAACUGCGUCUGAUACUGGAUGGCUUGAGUUUGGGAGAGGGAUGCGGAAUUCCAGGUGUAGCGGUGAAAUGCGUAGAUAUCUGGAGGAACACCGGUGGCGAAGGCGGCAUCCUGGACCAACACUGACACUGAGGAGCGAAAGCCGAGGGAGCAAACCGGGG